rnacentral:piRNA from 1 species
AAAGAAUGGAUUUCGUUGUCGACAACAGU